GAUUCUGGCUCAGAUUGAACGCUGGCGGCAGGCUUAACACAUGCAAGUCGAACGAGGUUAGGGAGCUUGCUCCUGAUACCUAGUGGCGAACGGGUGAGUAAUGCUUAGGAAUCUGCCUAGUAGUGGGGGGAUAACUAUCCGAAAGGAUAGCUAAUACCGCAUACGACCUACGGGUGAAAGGGGGCGCAAGCUCUCGCUAUUAGAUGAGCCUAAGUCGGAUUAGCUAGUUGGUGGGGUAAAGGCCUACCAAGGCGACGAUCUGUAGCUGGUCUGAGAGGAUGAUCAGCCACACUGGGACUGAGACACGGCCCAGACUCCUACGGGAGGCAGCAGUGGGGAGUAUUGGACAAUGGGCGAAAGCCUGAUCCAGCCAUGCCCGCGUGUGUGAAGAAGGCCUUUUGGUUGUAAAGCACUUUAAGUAGGGAGGAAAAGUUAAUGGUUAAUACCCAUUAGCCCUGACGUUACCUACAGAAUAAGCACCGGCUAACUCUGUGCCAGCCGCCGC
rnacentral:rRNA from 1 species